GGAACGUAUAGCCCCGAAAAUUUCAACAGAUAAUAGAGUUUGAAGCUUACCAUUAUCAUCAGGACGAAGGAGGUCAAGAACUUUUCCACGAGCGACGACGAUUUCUUGUACUUUUCCGCCGGAAAAGCUGCCGUUGAUAGCACAGAUUAUUCCGGUGGGUUGCUGCAGAGUGAGACUGUAGAGAUACAUACUGCUGAAACCCUAGUUUGUGAGAUUUAGGGUUUUGAGUGAGAAGAAG
rnacentral:misc_RNA from 1 species